rnacentral:rRNA from 1 species
GACGAACGCUGGCGGCGUGCCUAAUACAUGCAAGUAGGACGCAGUUGCGAACGGGUGAGUAACGCGUAGGGAACUGCCUAUUAGAGGGGGAUAAAUAGUGGAAACGAUAGCUAAUACCGCAUACUAGUAGAUGGACCUGCGUUGUAUUAGCUAGUAGGUAGGGGAAAGGCCUACCUAGGCGACGAUACAUAGCCGACCUGAGAGGGCGAUCGGCCACACUGUGACUUGUACACGGCCCAGACUCCUACCGGAGGCAGCAGUAGGGAAUCGUCGGCAAUGGGGGGAAACCCGACCGCGCAACGCCGCGGGAGUGAAGAAGGUUUUCGGAUCGUAAAGCUCUGUUGUUAAGGAAGCGGUACUUAACCAGAAAGGGACGGCUAACUACGUGCCAGCAGCCGCGGUAAUUC